CCGAGUGGUAAAGCAAGGAGUUAUGGCGCUGCGAACUUUGUCGCACAACGACCAAACAAAAAAGCCAACACAUGCAAGGGGAAAGAACAUUAAGUGCUGAGUGCAAAACUAGUGGCGGACGGGUGAGUAACGCGUGGGCAACCUACCCAUAAGAGGGGGAUAACAGCUGGAAACGGCUGCUAAUACCGCAUAAGCUUAGCUGGACGCAUGUUUGGUUAAGUAAAGGAGGCUUAGGCUUCCGCUUAUGGAUGGGCCCGCGUCUGAUUAGCUAGUUGGUAGGGUAACGGCCUACCAAGGCGACGAUCAGUAGCCGGCCUGAGAGGGUGUACGGCCACACUGGGACUGAGACACGGCCCAGACUCCUACGGGAGGCAGCAGUGGGGAAUAUUGCGCAAUGGGGGAAACCCUGACGCAGCGACGCCGCGUGAGCGAAGAAGGCCUUCGGGUUGUAAAGCUCUGUUGUAAGGGACGAAGGAUUGGGGUAGUAACUGACCCCAAGGUGACGGUACCUUACGAGGAAGCCCCGGCUAACUACGUG
rnacentral:rRNA from 1 species